GAAUGAAUAAAAAAUGGCACAUGUAACAACAAACUCAACAAAAGGUGAAGUUCUUAUUUAUUGGAUUGGCCUAGAAGCCAAAUAUUUAUUUUACAAUAAACUCGGAAAACACUCAUUAUUGGGUGAAAGCAAUGGAAAUUCUAAAGCAAAAGACAGAAGAUGGUAGCUCCAUAUGGCAUCAGCAGAAAGUAAAAGUAUACUUAAUUCAUUCGGGUAUUGCAUCUUUUAGAUACUGGUCAACAAUUACGUGAAUAGGCUGAGCAUGGUGGUGCUGGAGAUGUUGGUGGCGUUGGUGCUCUCGAUGGAAUGCACUUUCUAUAACCCUGACCGGGAGAACACUUAACAGCAGGCUUAUUAGGGUCUCCUGUCUGAAAUGAACCUUCUGCAUAAAAGUGUACAUACAUCAUUACAUUAACUAUAUAAUUACUCUUUUAUAUUUAUACUAAGUUCAUCCAAAUAAGUUAUAAGAAUCAAGUUUCGUAAGUUUCAAGUUUUAUAUUGAUUUCUUUGGUGCAUAUGAGAAUUGAGGAGUUAUAGAGAAGUUAGUGAGUAUUAUUACGUACCCUUGAGUUGUCGAGCCAUAGUUGAAGUGGGAAGGAAGAAAAGAGAAGCAAAAAGUAAGAAAGCAAUGAGAAUGGCCUUCAUGAUUGCCAAGUGAUUGAUAAUGCUUACUAUAUUUUAUUCACUUUUCUCUUUGCAUUAAUACGAAGAGUGUUGUGAUGUAUUUAUAGUCUCAAUUCAG
rnacentral:lncRNA from 1 species